rnacentral:rRNA from 1 species
GGCGGCGUGCUUAACACAUGCAAGUCGAACGGUAAGGCCCUUCGGGGUACACGAGUGGCGAACGGGUGAGUAACACGUGGGUGAUCUGCCCUGCACUUCGGGAUAAGCCUGGGAAACUGGGUCUAAUACCGGAUAGGACCAUGGACUUCACGGUUUGUGGUGGAAAGCUUUUGCGGUGUGGGAUGGGCCCGCGGCCUAUCAGCUUGUUGGUGGGGUAAUGGCCUACCAAGGCGACGACGGGUAGCCGGCCUGAGAGGGUGUCCGGCCACACUGGGACUGAGAUACGGCCCAGACUCCUACGGGAGGCAGCAGUGGGGAAUAUUGCACAAUGGGCGCAAGCCUGAUGCAGCGACGCCGCGUGAGGGAUGACGGCCUUCGGGUUGUAAACCUCUUUCAAUAGGGACGAAGCGCAAGUGACGGUACCUAUAGAAGAAGCACCGGCCAACUACGUG